rnacentral:rRNA from 1 species
UACGUAGGGUGCAAGCGUUGUCCGGAAUUAUUGGGCGUAAAGAGCUCGUAGGCGGUUUGUCACGUCGACUGUGAAAGCCCGGGGCUCAACUCCGGGUCUGCAGUCGAUACGGGCAGACUAGAGUUCGGUAGGGGAGACUGGAAUUCCUGGUGUAGCGGUGAAAUGCGCAGAUAUCAGGAGGAACACCGGUGGCGAAGGCGGGUCUCUGGGCCGAUACUGACGCUGAGGAGCGAAAGCGUGGGGAGCAAACAGG